rnacentral:rRNA from 1 species
CAUGCAAGUCGAGCGGAUGACGGGAGCUUGCUCCUUGAUUCAGCGGCGGACGGGUGAGUAAUGCCUAGGAAUCUGCCUGGUAGUGGGGGACAACGUUUCGAAAGGAACGCUAAUACCGCAUACGUCCUACGGGAGAAAGCAGGGGACCUUCGGGCCUUGCGCUAUCAGAUGAGCCUAGGUCGGAUUAGCUAGUUGGUGGGGUAAUGGCUCACCAAGGCGACGAUCCGUAACUGGUCUGAGAGGAUGAUCAGUCACACUGGAACUGAGACACGGUCCAGACUCCUACGGGAGGCAGCAGUGGGGAAUAUUGGACAAUGGGCGAAAGCCUGAUCCAGCCAUGCCGCGUGUGUGAAGAAGGUCUUCGGAUUGUAAAGCACUUUAAGUUGGAAGGAAGGGCAGUAAGCUAAUACCUUGCUGUUUUGACGUUACCGACAGAAUAAGCACCGGCUUACUCUGUGCCAGCAGCCGCGGU